rnacentral:rRNA from 1 species
UACGUAGGGUGCGAGCGUUGUCCGGAAUUAUUGGGCGUAAAGAGCUCGUAGGCGGCUUGUCGCGUCGGAUGUGAAAGCCCGGGGCUUAACUCCGGGUCUGCUUCCGGUACGGGCGGGCUGGAGUAUGGCAGGGGAGACUGGAAUUCCUGGUGUAGCGGUGGAAUGCGCAGAUAUCAGGAGGAACACCGGUGGCGAAGGCGGGUCUCUGGGCCAUUACUGACGCUGAGGAGCGAAAGCGUGGGGAGCGAACAGG